UACGUAGGGCGCAAGCGUUGUCCGGAAUUAUUGGGCGUAAAGAGCUCGUAGGCGGCCAGUUGCGUCUGCUGUGAAAUCCCGGGGCUCAACCCCGGGCGUGCAGUGGAUACGGGCUGGCUAGAGGCAGGCAGGGGAGAACGGAAUUCCGGGUGUAGCGGUGGAAUGCGUAGAGAUCCGGAAGAACACCAGUGGCGAAGGCGGCCCGCUGGGCAGUGGCUGACGCUGAGGCGCGACAGCGUGGGGAGCAAACAGG
rnacentral:rRNA from 1 species